rnacentral:rRNA from 1 species
CGCAGCCGCGGUAAUUCCAGCUCCAAUAGCGUAUAUUAAAGUUGUUGCAGUUAAAAAGCUCGUAGUUGAAUUUCGGGGUCAUCAGGUUGGUCGUGCCACUGGUAUGCACUGGCUUUGCUGAUUCCUCCUUCUUGAAGAACUGUAAUGCUAUUAAUUUAGUGUUGCAGGGAAACAGGACUGUUACUUUGAAAAAAUUGAGUGUUUAAAGCAGGCUAACGCUUGAAUACAUUAGCAUGGAAUAAUGAAAUAGGACGUUUGAUCCUAUUUUGUUGGUUUCUAGGAUUGACGUAAUGAUUAAUAGGGAUAGUUGGGGGCAUUAGUAUUCAAUUGUCAGAGGUGAAAUUCUUGGAUUUAUUGAAGACUAACUACUGCGAAAGCAUUUGCCAAGGAUGUUUUCAUUAAUCAAGAACGAAGUUAGGGAUCGAAGACGAUCAGAUACCGUCGUAGUCUUAACCAUAAACUAUGCCGACUAGGGAUCGGAUGAUGUUAAUUUUUAUGUACUUCAUUCGGCGCCUUACGG